ensembl:lncRNA
AAACUCGCCCAGGUAAGACGUUAUGUUUUUAAACAUAACGGCUCCAGCGUGGACAAACUCUCCCUCUCUCCCAAUUGCAAUAAAAUAAGGGAAGAGAGAAUUUCUCACCUCGACAAGCAAUGGCGGCUCGUUCAUUUUGUCCUAUAAAAAACGUAAAAUUCAAACAUCGCACCGCAUAUCAACACAGAAGUCACGUGAUUCUUUAAGAGCCAGUGUCCCUAUAACACAGAACGAAAACAUGUCAAUGAAACAGUAUUGUGAAUUAUGUCUUUAGAGUCCACCACGAGACUACACUUUGUUGCUCAAAUGUAAUAUUACUCUCCUCCUUGAGCCUACGAAAUGUCUUUCCACACCCUGCGGACUGUUUUAGUCCGCAGGGUGUGUGUAUACUAUGUGUGAUUGUAGGCUACUGCUGACACACUGGCUGCUUUCAGACGCACGUGUAAGUCCUGAAAUUCUCCCGAUGGGCCGUAUGUGUGAACAACAUAUUCUGACCUUUGUACCCUGAAAAUCUCCUGAAUGAUACUAAGCCUGAGGCUAUAGUUGAGGUAGUUGUGCUGACUGUGACUGGACGCCUGCUCACCCCUGACGAGUACCAGCUUGCUACCUGGCCAGCUCCCCAUCACCAUGGACAUAUCACCAUAUUCUCAUUUUUUUUUUUAAUUUUUUUUUUAAUGUUUCCUUGUAAUACUAUUAUCUAUGUCAAUUGUGGCACCCAUUGCACUCCUUACCAUCCGCGGCAGGAGGGAUACCCCAAUAUACUUUUUCCUUCUCAAGCUUUCUUCCAUGAUAAUUAAGGGGGUGUCAUACAUGUAUG